UUUCAAAUCGAUUUUAGUUUUAGUAAAUUCAUGUCUUUAACCUCAACUAUAAUUUCUAACUGUUUGCCACCUGAUUUACUUUCAUUAGGCUAAUGCAAGUGGAGCUCGUAGUUCUCCACAAAAUCUCUAUCAAAUAAGUUUUGAUGGCCCCCCAGCCCAGUCCCCAGCCACCCGAACGCCUAGCCACCUGCUCUGCCCCGUCCAUUACCUGUCCGGGCAGUCAACCCCUCCUACGCAUUUCUUAACCCCCUUGGCAAAUAGCAACCACCUCGCCCCCUGCCCCCUCUGGCACCAUCCCUCAACCCCCUGUAGGCCACAAAAUGUGCAAGUUUUGCGAGCAUAUGAAGGGCCAAUUAUGAGUGCUACGAAAAGGCACAAUGCGAUGGGUCGAAGGACGGAAGGACCGAAGGACGGAAGGACGGAAGGACGUAAGGACGGUUAUCUGAGCUAGCCUGACAGCUUGCCAGCAUUUGUAACAAUUACAAAUGAGAACAGCAA